AAGUGUUAUGUUUUUCUUCCGGAAAAUAAGCAUUGUGGCAUACUGCAAUACGGAUUUAUUUUUUCAAGAUUCAGUUCUGCACCAGCAACUAUAUUAGUGACUUGCGCAUACUCAUAGGCAUCGACGAGACGCUGGUCGUGGGUACCUUAGGGCGGAAAUGACUAAUUCGUUAAUCGUUCGGUUCCACACGGACAAACAAGGAAACUUAUGUUUCGAGGAUGAUUCCGGAUCGAAAGAGUAGAGCCGCUUCAAAAAACUCUGAUGCAUAUUGAAACUUUCAAAACGCCAGCCUUCGAAUUUCGGACGAUGACCGGAAUUCCCCAUGCCGG